rnacentral:tRNA from 4 species
GCGGACGUGGUGGAACCGGUAGACACCUUGGUUUCAGAAGCCAAGGGGCGAAAGCCCGUGAGAGUUCAAGUCUCUCCGUCCGCACCA